GGCCUGAUGGUCUAGUAGUAUGAUUCCUUCUUAGGGUUACCAAGUAUAGCUUGUAUACGCCAUUUGGAGGAGGUCCCGGGUUCAAUUCCCGGUUAGGCCC